rnacentral:piRNA from 1 species
GCUGAGUCAUGACAGCACCCGCUUUGGUCC